rnacentral:lncRNA from 1 species
CAGGGCUGAGGCUCCUGAAGAAGCACGUGACUUGAUGAGGUGAUUCUGAUUGUGAAACUGACAAACUGAUCCUGAAAUUCAAAAUAAAACACAACAGAUGUGGGAUAGCCAAUGUGACUCUGAAAAAUUAAUGAUGAGAGACUGGACAUUUUCUUCCUAAAAUCAGAAAGAAGGCAAAGAUGUCCUUUUUCACUACUUCUAUUCAACAUCAUUGUGGAAGUCCUAGCUACAGUUAUCAGAUAAGAAAAUGAGGUAAAAUAAAGAUAUACAGAUUGGAGAGAAAAAAAAUAAAAAUUGUUGUUACUAACAGAUGCGUGUUUAUCCCUGUGGAAAAUACCAAAUACUCUACAAAACAAAACAAAAAAUAAUCAAACUCAUGGAACUAACAGGCAAGCACACAGUACUAGCAAAGACACAGCAUAGUAUAGACACAGUCAGUAUAGUAAAGUCAAUUGCUUUCCUGUACUCAAUGUAAAAUUCAAAUUUGAAAUGAAAUUUCAUUUGCAAUAGUACCCAAUUUGCAAAUUUACCAUUUGAAAAAUUUCCAUUUGCAAUAGUAACCCC